AUGGGUGGGAACAGCCACUGCGUGAGUGAUCUUAACCAGUCUUCCACAGGCUCUUUUACACAGAAAACAGAAAAAUGCUAAAAAAAAAAUUUAAAAAAAGAAAAAAAUAUUGCUGAAUGGAAAAUGAACAUCAACUACAAAAGAAGCCCAGUAAGAUGAGCCAAGACCACAAGAGAAGGAGAUAAACAGGAGAACUGGAUUGGAUCAUUUCUCAGCUUCGGUGUGGAUUCUUGUCUGUCCAAGGCUCGGAGAGCGUGGCCCAGAAAGGAGCGAAGUGCUACACAUGGCAGGACCUCCCUCCGCUGAGACAGUCGGGCGUGAGACCCUCUGGGAGCCCCCAGCCUGCGGAGGUGAUCUGUGUGUGCCGGGAGGGGACUGCGGGGCGGAAGACCUCCCCAGCAGGUGGAGGUGUGAGUGGCAGACGCCGACCCCCGACCCCCUCCCUUCUUUGCGCCCCCCCCCCAGCUGACCGUCUGGAAGCAUAGCCCCCUUGGCAGGGAGGAGGGGACUGGCCAAGAAGAGGCUGGGACACACGCUCCCAGGCUUCUCGACAUCCCCUCCUGGGGGGCACUGACAACAGUUGAUUUCAGAAGUUGGUUGACUUCAUGAGGCAGAGCCUUCCCUCUAAGUCACGCUACUUUCCAUUCCGCUGUGGUGGGAUUAUCACCGAACCCAUUUUUCUGGAUCGAUGCUUUAGGAAGGUAUCAGUCACCUGAAGGCAGGUUGCACGUCACCCCCCUGGCAGAACCCGCACAGCUGUGUGCGCUGCUGGACACAGGCUCUGCUCUGGGCGGUGGAGCAGAUGCCUGGAGACCAGUGUGGGACGCCCUCGCCAAAGCCUGGCGUGCUCCAGGGGCUCUGUUCUAGGAGACAGGGAGGGAUGUGCCCACUUUCCAGAGGAACCUGAGCCACCACGGGAGACUCAGGAUGUCUGAUUCUGUCGUCUCUGCUGCUCUGCUGAGUGUCUGCACCUCCUCGCCCCAUGCCCCAUCUUCUCCCCGUGGCGGGCUCCCUUUUAUUCCCCACCCCAGCAUCUAAGCAGAUGCCAUGUUAGAUUCCCAGGGCUGCUGUGACACUGGGUGGCUUAAAACAACAGCAUUUAUUCUACCCGUUCUGGACAACAAAAUUCAAAAUCCAGGUGUCAGCGGGGCUGGUUCCAGGGGCUCAGAGAGAAAACCCUGUCCCAGCCUCCCUCCUGGCUUGUGGUGGCUGCCGGCAAUUCUCGGUGUCCCCUGCUGUGGCGGCUGCUUACCUCUACUCUCUGGCUCCAUUGUCACAUGGUCAUCUUCCUUUUGUGUGUCUGCAUCAUCACAUGGCAUUCACCUGUCCAUGUGUCCCUGUCUCUGUGUCUCUUCUCCUCUUCCUAAAAGGACACCAGUCAUAUUGGAUUAGGACUCACCCUAAUGACCUCAUCUUGGCUUGAUGACAUCUGCAAAGACCCUAUUUCCAAAUAAGGUCACAUUCACAGGUGCCGGGGACUAGGGCUUCAGCUGUCUUUUGGAGGGGACUAUUGAACCCACAACAGCGGCUGAGUCCCGAGAGCUCUCACUGUGCAGGGCCUCGGGUCCCCUCUCCUGUCACCCCUCCAGUCUUGCUGUCCAGCCCUGGUUCCCUCAGACAUUUGCUCCCUCCUGAACUACCCGGCAAGGGACAUCUUCCCUGUCUUCUCUGAGACUCCCAGAGCGUCCUCUGCCCUCUGAUGGCUUUUGUUUGUGCCACAUGUGCAUGUGUGUGUAUUUCUGCCCCCUGCCAUGUCUGUAGACUCCAGGAGACCAGGAACCACAUCUAACCACCUCUGUGUCCUCUACACAAUCACAGAAGGGAAACUAUAAACAUGAUGGGUAAUUUUAUGUGUCAACUUGUCCGGUCCAUAGGGUGCCCAGAUAUUUGAUUAAACAUUCUUUCUGGGUGUGUCUGUGCAGGUGUUUCUGGUAUGAUUAGCAUUCGAGUGGGUGGCCUGUAAGGUAGACGGCCCUCCACAGUGUGGGUGGGCUUCAUCCAACCCACUGAGGGCCCAGAUAGAACAAAAAAUGGAGGAGGAGAGAAUUCUUUCUCUCUGCCUAACUGCUUGAGCUGGAACGUUGGUCUUCCCUGUCCUCAGACCAGGAGUUACAUCAUUGGCCUCUGAGUUUCAGUCCUUUGGACUUGGCCUAGGACUCGUCCCGUCAGUUCUCCUGGUUCUCAGCCCUUCAGGCUCAGACUCAGUCACACCAGCUUCCUGGGUCUCCAGCCUGCAGAAAGCGGGUUAUAGAGCAUCUUGGCCUCCAAAUCAUGUGAUUCCUCAUUCAUUCUCUCCCUCUCUCUCUCUAGGUAGGUGGAUGGAUGGAUGGAUGGGAAGAUAGAUAAAUAGACAGAUACAUAGAUAGACAGAUAUCCCUUCACACUAGGUGGCAGCUCGGGGAGGGUCUUUUAGAGGAGGAUCAUGUCAAGGGCAGCCCUAGCCCCGGAGCCUGUCCCCUGCAGGGGGUGACAUACCCACGCCCCCCAGAAAGCGCACCUCUCCACUUCUCAACCAACCACAUGGGAGGAGAGAAGACAAAUCACAAAUCUAUUUGUGCUUUUUCCAAGAUUUUGAAGAACCAAUUAUAGACUUUAUUGUUUUGCUUUAGAAAGAUGACAGAUUGAGAACCAGAUGUAGUCCCAUCUCUGCCCCUUAUUAGCCAUGUGACCUCUGGUCCCCUCUCUGAGCCUCAGCGUCCUCACCUUCAACACGCAGUUAACACCUGUCGUCCCCGCUUGUGGGAUGCCCCAGAGAUGCUACCCGUGAAGACGCUGUGGUACUGAGUAGAGAGGAACUUACUUGAUUGCUGUUACUCUCUGUUACCCCAAAAGGACAGGAAAAUGGUCUUUACCUUAGGGAAAUGGUUUCAAAUAAAAAGUCGCUGUGCCUUAAGGGUUGUAGUGAAACGGAAAUGGAGGUUUGGGUAACACCCAUCAGAAGAGAGGAAGAGAGCCGGUGGCCUUUUUAUUAGUCCACAGAAAACUGAGGGUUCAGGGGACGAUGCCUCGGGAGCCCCCAGCCCCGCACACAGUGGCGGCUGCUCACAAGCCCGCCCCUGACGCUCGCUCACGACACUGCACUGACUCGCCACGCAGCGUGCCGCGUGCGCUGUACCGAGCGGUGCGCUGGGAACCACGCACCUGCCACGUGGCUGAGAGGUCUGUGUCCGUCAUCACACGAAACCCUCCAGCAGCCCUGGAGGUCCCAGGUACAUGACGCGUGAGAAGACUGCAACUCGGCAGGUCAGGCCUGUCCCACAGCCCUACUGCGAGGAAGACGGAGGACUGGCCCCCGGGUCCCCCAUGCCUAGCGUGGGGCUGUCCCGCACGCCCUCACUGCACAGGCAGGGAACCAAGGCCCCGGGAGGAGAAAUGACUUGCCCGUGUCACUCUGAAAGUCAGCAACCUGAGACCAGUCCCCAUUCCCAGAUCAAGAUCCUCUGGCUACUUCGACCUCCUCCAGAAGAAAUUCUGCUCACACGGCCCCUUCCAACGCACAGCCCACAGCGCACUCACGGGGGCGUGGGGGUGGGGUGGCUCUCACACGGCCACCGGGUCAUCUGGGCUCUUUGCGUCAGGUGAUUUACCUGACAGCCAGCUAAUCUCUCCUUUCCUGGACUCUCCCCUUCCCGGCCCACGUGCCGCCCCAGUGACACGCUCAGUGCUGUAAAUGAGGGUGUCGUGGCGUGUUCUCAGGUCUUACUGGAAGUGCAGCUGUUAAAAAAUAAUUUAGUAAACAGCCGGCCCAGUCCGUGCACGUCAGCAGCGCCGAUCGGGGCUCUGACGCCAGCAAAGGCGGGGCUGAGGCCCCGAGCCAGAGGCCUCUCCAGCUGCCGUCCUGUCCUUGGCACCUGCCUGUGCCUCGGGCGGAGGACAGCCGGGCACCCCGCAGCCCUGGCCCUCUCCUGCUGGCUUCCGAAGCUUCCAGAGUUUCCUUGAGAAAACAGUCCUGCUCGCAAAACUGAGACUGGGGCGUUGUUCUCCCAGGCGACCACAUUCCUUUCUGGGCAGCGCAGGAAAAGGGGACCAGAAUACGGAUAAAGAUGCAGAUAACUGAGACCCUAAACCGAAACUGCAUGGAUGGGACACCCCAGUAACGGAUCUCCCAUCUACGCUGGUCCCAGUUGGGGGCCUCCUUGUCAACGCAGGACAAAUAAGAAUGGUUUGCUUGUAAAACCACAGCUCAGCCACAGUCCAUGGGAGGGCUAAAGACAUUUUUGGAAGGAAGAAUUGAAAACUCCACGCUGGAAAUGUGAGAAUGGAAGCUCGAGUUGGCUUCUUUAAAAUAUCAGUGAGGGAGAAAACUUGCUACUUAAGCACUAAGGCUAUUACAAGGUUCUAGCGAAUGUCGAAAGGAGGCUUUUUCCUUUUGUCUGAAAGCUCACCGUCCCCCAGCCCUGCAGAGCGAUGCCAACAGGGAGCGGGCCAUAAAUAGGAGACAAAAAUGAAUGUCAGCGUAAGUUCUGGAUCAACCACCGAUAAUAACAGUAGUCACAGAAAUCACUGUUGACUUAGCCGUAACCCACUCAGAAGGCGGCAGGGACUUUGCCUUGUCCCCACAGUGUCUCCAGCCUACAACAGUCGUUGGCACAGAGCUGCUCAAUCUCUGUUUUGGACAGAUCAGUGUGCGUGUGAGUUCCUUGUGCCAGACACCAUGUUUCACGUUGACCAUGUGUCACGAUUCACAGUCUUUUCCACCCCAUGAAGCAGGUGUGAUUCCCAUUUUACGGAUGAGGAAGGAAAGGCUUGGAGAGGUUGAGGAAGUCGUCCGGGGUUUGCAGCCGCGCAGCGUCAGAGCCUGGCUGGGAAGCGCGGCCACGGUGCUUCCAGAGCUCAUGCAAUUGACCGGGACACCGGCCUCCUCUCUCCAAGCGCUGCCAUCUCUAGCCGAGGUCUCUGGGCAGGUCCAUGGGUCCCCAAGUUCUCCUUUGAAUUAUGAAGGGGACCCAAGAAAUUUCAUGCAAAAUGGUGUGUGUGUGCCCUUGGACGCGAUGCUGGAAUGAAAGUCCUUGGCCUUCAGAUCUUCAGAGAAACCCAGGAUCAAAAACCGUUUAGGAAUCACUGUUCUAGACGCUACAGAAGUACCUAGCAGGAGGGUGACCAGCUGCGCUUUGCCCCGGUCAGUCUUGGUUUAACACUGAAAAUCCCACGUCCUGGGAACCCCGUUGGUAAGAGGGCUGUGGAGCCCUCGGGUGAAGGACGGAUUGAGUCCGGGUUCCUGGUGCUUUUCCGUCAGCAGGAGAUAACAGGCUGAGAGGAGCAGGGAGGGGGGAAGCAGGGACCGGUACAGGGCUCCAAACCAGGGGUGGGAAAGGCCUGGGAGGAAGUCCUGGGAGGCGGGCAAAGCGGGAGCACGAGGUGUUUGGGGCAGAGAGGUUUCCGAGGAGUGAAGGGGUGGCCAGAAGCUCCCCCUCCCCAAAUUCUGCAGCUGAUGUCUGUUUACAGGAGCACUGGGUCAUGUGGGUGAGGACAGUGGACAUUGUGUCGGCAUCGUGCACAUUUUGGGAGCGAUCCUCCCCUCCCAAUCCACUGGGUGGCCCAGGGGGGUCCCCAGGAACCCCAAGAGCCUGCCCCCUGCAGAGCAGCAGCUCUAGACAGAUCAGACUCUGAGGCCCACAGUGGGUCUCUGCCAGGAGCGUCCCUGGAGGCAUCCCAAAGCCAGCGCGGUGAGGAACGUGAGCUGUGCAUUCCCAGGGAGAUGUCCGGGUGUGCUGCAGGCCUGCGUUCCCCAUGACCUAUGAGGGGCCAGGGGAGGGGUCUGGGAUCCCCCAGGCCUCUGCUGCGGCCCCAGGGAGGCCUGCGCCUGGCAACUGGAGGUCAUCAGCCUGCUUCGCCAAGGAAAGCAAGAGCAGGCUGGCCUGAUACACCUCCUUCCCUGGCUUGACAGUGGCAGGACCACCCGGGAGAGCGUCAGCUUCCCUGAUCCGAGCACUGCGGGCAGCCCUGGAGCUGGCGCAGCCGUGGGCCAGUUUGGGGGAUCACAAGGGGCUUACUGGAUGAUGCCUCUGCGCCUGUCUUUUGUUUCUAAGUUCAGGAUGCUCUUGCCCCCAACACCCUUUGGAAUGUGUGGCUCUGAGCUCCAGGUGGCUGAGUUCUAGCACCCGCAGGUACCUUUCGCCCUAAGGACCAGGCAGCCCCAGAAAUGACAGUAGGGAGUCCUAUGUGUGAGUCCUGCCAGGCACAGUGUUCCCAAAGUAAGCUUUCAUUCCCCAAGGUAGUGGCACUUGUCACUCAGGCCCACCUGGUCCCUGUCUUCUAUUUGCAUGAGCAUGGCCAGGAGGAGCAUGUAUGCAAACAAUGAACAGAGUGUCACCUCACCUGGGCCAUCUGUGUCAGAGGGCAGUCGUUUUUGAACAUCUGCCUCUGCAGAGCCUGACCUGGCCUCGGCAUGCCCUGUCUGGCUGCCCGUGGGCGGAAUCCAUCAGGGUGUGUGAGAAGUAACCACUGACAUGGAGAAUGGCACAGGCGUCUGACCCACAGGCCACAAACUUUGCCUGCGGAAGGAAGCCUAAGGGUACUUUGGUGGAGAAAUGACCAACCGUGCUAAAUUAGGUGGUUUUCAGACCUGUGACCAAAAAAAACAGCUGUAGGGUUCCCUUCCCUGUCAAAAUUCUUAGGGUGCAAACGACAGCCCCGCCCACCCGUCCUAGGCAGAGCCCAGCCCUGUGGGUGACUGGUCACCAGGGCACAGGCUGGGGUUCCGGGAAGAAGCCAGCUUUCAAAGUGACUGCACACUGCUGUGAAUCAUCCUGAUUCAAAUGAGGUGCAUUUGGAGACAGCCGAUUGCCUCAGAUUAAGGCACAGUUGCCUCAGAAAGGCAUUUACCUCUGGGAGUUUCAGGUAGCGCAGAGAACAGCACAUUUGCAUGUAGAGUCUAAACUCACAGCCUGGCCGCUGUUCUGUGGCUGGCAGGACCCAGUGAAAGCCGACCCCAGGGCCUGCGAUUCCUCCGUGCUUGGUCCUGCCCCACCCCAUCGAAGCACAACUCACUUCAUUUCCCGGUCGUGCCCCUCAGGAGUGGUGCCCACCUCUUCACCAGGGGGUCUUGCCAUUUCCUGGGACAUUCUUUUUGCCACAAAGUGCUUUCUUGUUCUGGGUAACAAUUGACCAUCUCAGAUUCCAGCUACUCUCCAGGUCUCCGUGGUUGAAGUCAACUCCCGUUCUCGGAGUUGUUUCUCCAUGUGUGUGAACAGCUGUCUCUGGCUCGUCCUAUACAGCCCUAAACUCUGAGCUCUUCCUUCUAACCAAAUCCUGGUUUGGAGAGCUUCACUGUCUAGUCCAUCCUGCUUCAGGCUUGUUCUGUUGGUGGCUUCCUCUCAGAGUAUGGACCUCACCAAUAUCACCUCCCUUGUUUCAGCCACUAUACCCCUAUUAGUAUAAUCUAAAAUCACAUUGGCUAUUUUGGCAUCCACAAUGGCGACUCAUAAUGAGUCAUUUAGAGUCAACAAAAACCUUUUUAUAAAUGGCACUGUCUGGUCACAUCUCCCCCCACAUACCCUUCCCCCCUCCCCCCGCGCCCCCAUGCACAGCCAGUAGCUGUUCUGUUAGGUUUUAGAGCAAAAUGCCAGACUUUAUAUUUGUCCCUGUUAUAUUUCUUCUUUUUAAUUUGGCCUGUCAUUCCUCCCCUGCCAUCCAGCAUUGAUUACUGUGGUUUGGAAGCCUGGUGCGAGCACCUUCUGUAGAUGGAUCCAGAUUGCUUAGAGAGCGGUUUCAGUGAUGGGGACAGCUAACGAUGCUAGCCGACCACUUGCUUUCCUCUGCCUUGUCCAGAAAGGUAAUAUGAGGCUGCGUGUUAAUUGCUUUGCUGAAAUAUCCUAAAGUGUUAGGACAGGUAGAGAUGUUAGGGACCAUCUGGUUCAAACCCUUCAUUUUACAGAUGAAGAAACUGAGGCCGGGUGAGGUUAAGGGGCUGCCUGGUCUGUGGCGAAACCAAACAUCAUGACUCAGAUACUCCCACACUCAGGUACCCUUGGGUUAUUUGCCCAGCACAUUGCAUCAGGUCUGCUAGAAGAUUCUGAAACAGUGGACCACAGAGCCCUGACCCUUGGGGAGGAAAGGCUGGGCGGGUCCCAAAAAUCAAGGACAGUAGUCCACCAACAGAUGACGAGAAACAAAAUGCCAUCUGGCCGUGGGAGGGAGUAUUAUACAGCCAUGAAAAGGAAUGGAAGGCUGGCUCACACGGCAGCGUGGACGAACCUUGGAAAGAGUGUGGUAAGUGAGGAAGCCAAUUGCAAAGACCACACGGUGUGCGAUUCCAGUUACACGUAAGGUGCAGAACAGGUGGCCCUUAGAGACAGCAAGCACAUGCGUGGUUGCCAGAGGCUGGGUGGACAGCGACAGAUGGCAGUGACUGCUGAUGGGUACAGGGUUUCUCUUUGGUGUGUUGGAAAUGACAUGUUCUGCAAUUAGACCGUGCUGAUGGUUGCACAGCCCCGUGAAUGUACUCAAAACCACUGAAUUGUACCUCUUAAAAUGGUUAAAAUGGUGAAUUUUAUGGUAUGUGAAUCACACCCUUAAUUUUUUUUAAAAAAAGCCUCAGCCUGUCUUUCCACUGACUCGUGUCAAGAACAAACCCUUUCCUCUGCCCCCGACCAAGGAGCUUUGCAGAGGGUGGGGACGGCCUGCAGGGGCCACUGUCUGGGACAGAUGGAUUUAUUUUCCACAUAAAGGGCCUUUCUGCAAUGUCCUUCCUGGUGCAGCCUGUGUCCCCUGGGCUGCUGUCCUGGGCACCCCACCCCACCUGGCCUGCUCUUCCCACCCCCCCACCUCCCCUGGGGUUUCAGUGGGAAAUGCCUUUUGUGUCUGCACCCCAGAGAACUAGGUCUCCUUUGGCUGCUCUGCCCUGGAAGAAAGUAGGGGACACUUGCUUGUCACUCUUCAACCAGCUCUGUGCUUGUGUGAAGGGCAACAAGGUUCAGUCAUCUCCUGCCGUGUGCCCUUGGAUUCCCUAACCUGCAGUGCAGCCCAGUCUUCCCCUUGCCCAGGCUCCAUUUGGAGGAAUUCAGGUGUGGCACCUGUGGCAUAGGGAUGAGUGACGGCAGCCAGCAGGAGUCACCGGGGGGACCCACCAGCUCUCAGGGCGCAGGGUGAGGAAAAGGAGCCAGAAACUGGACAGCAAGUUUGCAGAAAUCACAACCAAGAGGAAGAGAAGCAACUGAGACUGUUGCAGAAAAAAUAAAAGAAUUUUAAAUCCUUCUGUCAG